UUAACCUGUGGUGAUUUGAGCCGACCGGCUUGCGGCCACGUAAAAAGCAUCGCUAAAAGGUCGGGAGG
rnacentral:ncRNA from 1 species